UACGGAGGGUGCGAGCGUUAUUCGGAAUCACUGGGCUUAAAGCGCACGCAGGCGGAAAAGUAAGUGUCUUGUGAAAUCCCCCGGCUCAACCGGGGAACUGCUCGGCAAACUGCUUUUCUUGAGACAAGUAGGGGUAGAUGGAACUCUAGGUGGAGCGGUGAAAUGCGUAGAUAUCUAGAGGAACGCCAGCGGAGAAAUCGGUGUACUGGGCUUGUACUGACGCUGAGGUGCGAAAGCGUGGGUAGCGAACGGG
rnacentral:rRNA from 1 species